UAACAUAUGCUUGUUUCAAAGAUUAAGCCAUGCAGGUCUAAGUGCACACGGUCGGUACAGUGAAACUGCGAAUGGCUCAUUAAAUCAGUUAUGGUUCCUUUGAUCGCUCCACACGUUACUUGGAUAACUGUGGUAAUUCCAGAGGUAAUACAUGCAAACGAGCGCUGACCUCUCGCGGGGGAUGCGUGCAUUUAUCAGACCCAAAACCCAUCCGGGGGGUUUUGGGCCCCCCGGCCGCUUUGGUGACUUUAGAUAACCUCGGGCCGAUCGCGCGCCCUUCGCGGGGGGGACGUUUCAUUUGAAAGUUUGCCCUAUCAACUUUUGAUGGUACUAUAGGCGCCUACCCUGGUGACCCCGGGUAACGGGGAAUCAGGGUUUGAUUCCGGAGAGGGAGCCUGAGAAACGGCUACCACAUCCAAGGAAGGCAGCAGGCGCGCAAAUUACCCCUUCCCGACCCGGGGAGGUAGUGACGAAAAAUAAAGAUACAGGUUUCUUUUGAGGCCCCGUAAUUGGAAUGAGCGUAUCCUAAACCCAUGGGUGAGGACCCCUU
rnacentral:rRNA from 1 species